GGAUUUCUAACCCGCAGCACUUAUCGUGCUGGGAGACAGUGUCAGGCGGGCAGUUUGACUGGGGCGGUCGCCUCCUAAAGUGUAACGGAGGCGCUCAAAGGUUCCCUCAGAAUGGUUGGAAAUCAUUCAUAGAGUGUAAAGGCAUAAGGGAGCUUGACUGCGAGACCUACAAGUCGAGCAGGGUCGAAAGACGGACUUAGUGAUCCGGUGGUUCCGCAUGGAAGGGCCAUCGCUCAACGGAUAAAAGCUACCCCG
rnacentral:rRNA from 1 species